AGUGGAUGGGGAGCAACCUAGUUGUGCGUGUGUAAAGGUAGUGCCAAGAAAAGCGAUGAUCAUGUUGAAAAUCAAUUCCCGGUACCCGAAACCGACACAGGUGGGCAAGUAGAGAAUACUAAGGGGCGCGAGGUAACUCUCUCCAAGGAACUCGGCAAAAUGACCCCGUAACUUAGGGAGAAGGGGUGCCACCGAGAGGUGGUCGCAGUGAAGAGGCCCAGGCGACUGUUUAGCAAAAACAUAGGUCUCUGCAAACUCGAAAGAGGAGGUAUAGGGGCUGACGCCUGCCCAGUGCCGGAAGGUUAAAGAAGUUGGUCAGUCUUAGGAUGAAGCUAGCGACUGAAGCCCCGGUGAACGGCGGCCGUAACUAUAACGGUCCUAAGGUAGCGAAAUUCCUUGUCGGGUAAGUUCCGACCCGCACGAAAGGCGUAACGAUCUGGGCGCUGUCUCGGAGAGAGGCUCGGCGAAAUAGGAUUGUCUGUGAAGAUACGGACUACCUGCAUUUGGACAGAAAGACCCUAUGAAGCUUUACUAUAGCUUGGAAUUGUGUUCGGGCUUCCUGUGCGCAGGAUAGGUGGGAGGCGUAGAAGGUAUUCUUGUGGGGAUACUGGAGCCAACGGUGAGAUACCACUCUCAGGAGGCUAGAAUUCUAACUUAAUUAAGGACAGUUUCAGGUGGGUAGUUUGACUGGGGCGGUCGCCUCCAAAAAGGUAACGGAGGCGUACAAAGGUUCCCUCAGACUGGUUGGAAAUCAGUCGAAGAGUGCAAAGGCAGAAGGGAGCUUGACUGCGAGAAGUACAGUUCGAGCAGGGUGGAAACACGGUCUUAGUGAUCCGACGGUGCUGUGUGGAAGGGCCGUCGCUCAACGGAUAAAAGUUACUCUAGGAUAACAGGCUGAUCUCCCCCAAGAGUUCACAUCGACGGGGAGGUUUGGCACCUCGAUGUCGGCUCAUCGCAACCUGGGGCGGAAGUACGUCCCAAGGGUUGGGCUGUUCGCCCAUUAAAGCGGUACGUGAGCUGGGUUCAGAACGUCGUGAGACAGUUCGUCCAUAUCCGAUGUAGGCGUGAGAAUAUUGAGAGGAGCCUUCCUUAGUACGAGAGGACCGGGAAGGACGCACCGCUGGUGUACCUGUUAUGAUGCCAAUUGUAAACGCAGGGUAGCCAAGUGCGGAGAGGAUAACCGCUGAAAGCAUCUAAGUGGGAAGCCCACCUCAAGAUGAGUAUUCUGGUGUAAGGUCACGGGAAGACGACCCGUAAAUAGGCACGAGGUGGAAGUGCAGAGAUGUAUGAAGCCGAAGUGUACUAAUAGACCGUCGGCUUGAUC
rnacentral:rRNA from 1 species